rnacentral:lncRNA from 1 species
ACCGAAGAGACGCAAUACAACAUUGUACAUUCGAUAGGACGCCAAGCUCCUCAGAGGUCGUGAAAUAGGAGAGUGAUUAGUUAAAACACGAAUUUCUACAAAAACACAUGUGUUUUCGAAUGUAAACACGACGCCACUGAAACGCAGCUGCUGAAUAGACUCCUGUCGUCCGAAUUUAGGUUAACAUAUGCCAAACUUGACUUCUUCGAAGAAUUUGAAACCCACGCAGCGGGUUAGCCUAAAGCGUUCGCAGAUUGCAAUGGAAGAUGUAAAGCGUGUACGGUUGAAAGUACGAUGGGAUUUCCGCUUUCUAGAAAAUGCAGACGGAGUUCCACAAUGAUGGGUCGUUUCAUGUUCACCGCUCAUUGUUUUCGUCGUACCACGAGGGACUGCUUUUAUGUCAAUACUUCAAAGUGCUAUAACCUACGUAGGGGUAUCAUACGAGGCAAAAGUUACGUGAACCAGCGUCGCACCAUCUUCAUUAUCAUCUUCAGGUGUCUCCGUACGGUAACGUACAACUUACGUAUGCCAAAGGGCAUCUUUGUAUUUAAGACUACUUUAAGAGCAUGCACGAGUCAGUUUCCUUGUUAUAUGCAGAGAUACACAGUCUAGUCUUUGCAUUUCUUAUUACGUAUAUUUAAUGAAUUAAAUAUAGUAAAGCAAAUUUGAAAGACAAGUGAAUAAUUUACAUGCAAAAAAUAGAUUUUAUUAAAGAUUCAUUCAAACUGCUUAUUUCUAACCUUUACAACGUUCUACCAAUUUUUUAAUAUAUUUCAGAGUAUGUAAUAAAUGAAAGAUAGCAAAAAUGUUCUGAAAUUUAAUAGAAAGGACGUCGAACUUCCAUUUCAUUUUUUAUCUGGUCUGUGUAUCUCUGCUUUUCAUUACAAUGUACAAUACCGAGAAAAGCGGAACUUUGUGAUGUAUACGCGUACCGAACUAAGCAUUGGUGGAGAAGAGCACUGUCGAUUGCAUCCGCCGACAGGAACACUAAUCAUGGGACUCGCUGUCUUUUAAGAUUAUUAAAAUCGUCAAAGCUUCAACGUCCUCAAAGGGUUAAUUACCCUACGGGAUAUUUAUGGCUGGGUUGCUCUCUUCCCUCGCUCGCCAGGGAGCAGAGGCUAUUAAAGAAGGAGCACGCGGACAGAGAAGAGGUAGACUGCGAACUGCCGCGGAAAAGAGCCUUUCUCUUCGUGUGUCAUUGUCAGGGCUUGUAGAUAGAUUGCUCAGCCGGUAAUUGAUUUCCUGUGCCGUGUCGAAUAAUUGAACGCUCGAUGUUAUACAGUUUUACUUAAAAGAAAAUAAUAUUUGAUUUAUGUCUAUCAUUCGCGUUCAACGAAUUCUUCAAAACGUUCCAAUGUAAUUUGAAAUUUACAAGCACUAGACUGCCUUUUGUAUUUUCCAAAGUGAAAAUCGCUUCCUAGAUUCUAGCUAAAAUAUACAUGAUCUUUCAAAAUAGCUAAAUUUCACAUGACAAACAA